rnacentral:rRNA from 1 species
AACGAACGCUGGCGGCAUGCCUAACACAUGCAAGUCGAACGAGACCUUCGGGUCUAGUUGCGCACGGGUGCGUAACGCGUGGGAACCUGCCCUUAGGUUCGGAAUAACUCCCCGAAAGGGGUGCUAAUACCGGAUAAUGUAUUCGGGCCAAAGAUUUAUCGCCUUUGGAUGGGCCCGCGUUGGAUUAGCUGGUUGGUAGUGUAAAAGCCUACCAAGGCGACGAUCCAGAGCUGGUCUGAGAGGAUGAUCAGCUACAAUGGGACUGAGACACGGCCCAGACUCCUACGGGAGGCAGCAGUGGGGAAUAUUGGACAAUGGGCGAAAGUCUGAUCAAGCAAUGCCGCGUGAGUGAUGAAGGCCUUAGGGUUGUAAAGCUCUUUUACCCGGGAUGAUAAUGACAGUACCGGGAGAAUAAGCUCCGGCUAACUCCGUG